rnacentral:lncRNA from 1 species
UUGUAUUGCAUACUUUAUUGUUGAUUGAUGUGGAUGAACGUUGGAUGAUCCAAAGCCCUCGAUCUAUGAUAUGACGAUGUGAUAUGUACAGUACGGAAUGUAAGACCAGUGGGACCCAUUCUACGUUCGCUGGCACCAUGUAAGGGAAAGACCAGGACCCAUUCUACGUUCUGGCACAGUUGGACUGUUAUGUUAUGCUAUGUUAUGUAAGGGAAAGACCAGGACCCAUUCUACGUUCUGGCACAGUUGGACUUGUAGAGGGCUAUUGGUGACAAGUUCAUCCUUGAUGUGAUUAGCUGUGAUGUGAUGCAUUCCAUGAUCCAUAUGAUUUAAAUGUUUUUAUUA